UACGUAGGGGGCAAGCGUUGUCCGGAUUUAUUGGGCGUAAAGCGCGUGUAGGCGGCCAGGUAGGUCUGCUGUGAAAACUCGAGGCUCAACCUCGAGAUGUCGGCGGAAACCAUCCGGCUAGAGUCCGGAAGAGGAGAGUGGAAUUCCCGGUGUAGCGGUGAAAUGCGCAGAUAUCGUCAGGAAUGCCGGUGGUGAAGACGGGUGACUGGGCUGGUUCUGACACUGAGGCACGAAAGCGUGGGGAGCGAACGGG
rnacentral:rRNA from 1 species